rnacentral:rRNA from 1 species
UAAGGAAUAGGAGUUCCGGAGCCUGAGGGAAACCGAGUCUGAAAAGGGCGAAUAGUUGCAUGUCGUAGACCCGAAGCCAGAGUGAUCUAGUCAUGAGCAGGUUGAAGCAGCGGUAAAACGCUGUGGAGGACCGAACUACAAUCUGUUAAAAAAGGUUUGGAUGACUUGUGACUAGGAGUGAAAGGCUAAACAAACCUGGAAAUAGCUGGUUCUCCCCGAAAUGCCUUUAGGGACAGCCUUAUACAAAAUUACCGGAGGUAAAGCACUGGAUGGACUAGGGGGCUUCACCGCCUACCAAACCCAAUCAAACUCUGAAUGCCGGUAAUCAACGUAUAGGAGUGAGACUGCGUGCGACAAGGUUCGUAGUCAAAAGGGAAACAGCCCAGACCGUCAGCUAAGGUCCCGAAAUACUGCUUGAGUGUGAAAUGAAGUGUGGAUACAAAGACAGCCAGGAGGUUGGCUUAGAAGCAGCCAUUCCUUAAAAGAGUGCGUAAUAGCUCACUGGUCGAGUAUACAUGCGCAGAUAAUGUAACGGGGCUAAGCAGUAUACCGAAGCUACGGGUCUUAUGCAUUAAGCAUAAGGCGGUAGGGGAGCAUUCCAUGGACUGAUGAAGGUGUACCUGUCAGGGGCACUGGAGGGGAUGGAAGAGAGAAUGCAGGUAUAAGUACACGAAAAGAAAGGUGAGAUUCCUUUCCGCCGAAAACCUAAGGUUUCCUGGGUAAAGGUCAUCUGCCCAGGGUUAGUCGGCCCCUAAGGCGAGGGCGAAAGCCGUAGUCGAUGGGAAAUCGGUUCAUAUUCCGAUACCUUUUAUAAUUUCGAUGGCAGGACGCAUGAGGCGAACCCCGGCCGGAGAACGGUUGUUCCGGUCGAAGCUUUCCAAGCCGUUAUAAAGGAUAGUAGGCAAAUCCGCUAUCCAAGGUGAGGGGUGACAGCGAGUGGAUCGAUGAGAGAAGCGAAGCGGGAGUAGUCAUGGUGCCGGGAAAUACUGUCUAAGGCUAGGUUAUAAAAGACCGUACCGUAAACCGACACAGGUAGGUAGGAUGAGAAAUCUAAGGCGCUCGAGAGAACUCGCGUUAAGGAACUCGGCAAAAUGCACACGUAACUUAGGGAAAAGUGUGGCCUCUGUUUAGUAAUGAGUGGAGGUAGCAUAAAGCAGGCCCAGGCGACUGUUUAUCAAAAACACAGCCAUCUGCGAAUCAGUAAUGAGACGUAUAGGUGGUGACACCUGCCCGGUGCCGGAAGGUUAAGAGGAGCGGUUAGCAGUAAUGCGAAGCUGUCAAUUGAAGCCCCGGUAAACGGCGGCCGUAACUAUAACGGUCCUAAGGUAGCGAAAUUCCUUGUCGGGUAAGUUCCGACCCGCACGAAUGGUGUAACGUAUCUGGGCACUGUCUCAACGCGAGGCUCGGUGAAAUUUAUAUACCGGUAAAGAAGCCGGUUACCCAUAGUUAGACGGAAAGACCCCGUGAACCUUCACCGUAACUUACUAUUGGGAUUUUAUUUAUCAUGUGUAGAAUAGGUGGGAGACAAUGAGGCGUGGUCGUUAGGCUGCGCGGAGUCGCAAAGUGAAAUACCACUCUUGAUGAAUGAAAUUUCUAACCUGUGCCGUGAAGCCGGUAUAGGGACAAUGGUAGGCAGGCGGUUUGACUGGGGCGGUCGCCUCCUAAAGAGUAACGGAGGUGCGCGAAGGUCUCCUCACUCUGGUUGGAAAUCAGAGCGCGAGUGUAAAGGCACAAGGAGGCUUGACUG